rnacentral:rRNA from 1 species
UACGGGGGGGGCAAGCGUUGUUCGGAAUUACUGGGCGUAAAGGGCUCGUAGGCGGCCAACUAAGUCAGACGUGAAAUCCCUCGGCUUAACCGGGGAACUGCGUCUGAUACUGGAUGGCUUGAGGUUGGGAGAGGGAUGCGGAAUUCCAGGUGUAGCGGUGAAUGCGUAGAUAUCUGGAGGAACACCGGUGGCGAAGGCGGCAUCCUGGACCAAUUCUGAUGCUGAGGAGCGAAAGCCAGGGGAGCAAACGGG